AUUGAACGCUGGCGGCAUGCCUUACACAUGCAAGUCGAACGGCAGCACAGAGGAGCUUGCUCCUUGGGUGGCGAGUGGCGGACGGGUGAGGAAUACAUCGGAAUCUACUCUGUCGCGGGGGAUAACGUAGGGAAACUUACGCUAAUACCGCAUACGACCUACGGGUGAUAGCAGGGGACCUUCGGGCCUUGCGCGAUUGAAUGAGCCGAUGUCGGAUUAGCUAGUUGGCGGGGUAAAGGCCCACCAAGGCGACGAUCCGUAGCUGGUCUGAGAGGAUGAUCGGCCACACUGGAACUGAGACACGGUCCAGACUCCUACGGGAGGCAGCAGUGGGGAAUAUUGGACAAUGGGCGCAAGCCUGAUCCAGCCAUACCGCGUGGGUGAAGAAGGCCUUCGGGUUGUAAAGCCCUUUUGUUGGGAAAGAAAUCCAGCUGGCUAAUACCCGGUUGGGAUGACGGUACCCAAAGAAUAAGCACCGGCUAACUUCGUGCCAGCAGCCGCCGUAA
rnacentral:rRNA from 1 species